rnacentral:lncRNA from 1 species
AGAGAAAAAGUUAAGUGGCCCAUAGCAAGGACACAUGGGUUGGACGUGGUAAACUCCAUUAAGAUCCAAUCUGCUUUUCUAAUCUACCAUUUUGGUGUCAGUGUGCAGAAGAGAUCAAAACAGAGGGUCAGCAGAAAAAGGGAGACUGAGCACCCCUCGCGGCCUCACUCCAACAUCACAUUUUUGUUCCCAGGACUUCUGAUGUUCUCCAGGACCAUGCUGGGCCACUCCUCAUAUCCUCACCCAGAGCAGGAACGGGAGAUAUCCCCAUCACCCCCACAAUAUCCAGGCAAGUAUCUGUCAUCCUCAUGAAGUGGCCAGAAGGAUCACUUCACCUAGAAAGAUGUCAGAUUACCUACCAUCCUUCUUACCUUAAGAAGGGGAGAACUUCAAUUACGGCCCGGAGACCCCUCACCCUGCCACCCCACCCCCCUGUCAUCAACGCCCCAGAUUACUGAGCCCAGAGUCCCACUCGGUACCUGAUGUGAUGCACACGCAGAGCCACAUCUUCAUUGGUCACGCUUGGAGUGGUGAUAAAUAAUAACAUUCACAAGUCGCAGCUUUUCCAUCAUACACAUUUUAUUGAAAAACACAGUUUUACAGAUUCAAAAUAUUUUACACAAUCUUCUGUUCCCUUCUGACAGAGUGGAACAGUAUAUCUUCCACUUGCCAAGACUGGUGAGAUCAGCAUAGCAACUGAAACCAUCUGUAAACAAGGCCUCUGGUUAUAUUCCCUACUGCAAAUGACCACAGAGAACUCGCCAUAAGGGCACAGGUAUUGGUAAACUAUAAGCGAGCUGGAGGGUGAACAACGGCUCCUACUUACUUAUUCCUUCUCCUUGCAGUACCUUUGGCACAAGUUCCACUGAACGAAGUUCCCUGUGGCCUCAGUUUGGCCAGGGUGUGACAAUCACAAUUUGCGGGGGACAGAUACCUGGGGGGGACGUGGUAUCUCAUGUUAGGAUAUUGGAGGGCAAAUACAAAGUGACAUAAGAAACAAAGGUUUAAUAUCCCCAUUGACAAGUGAGAGCAGGCUUUCUCCCCUCCCUUUGCUUUAGAAGGUUUACUUUGGAAAACUUGUCAGUUCUUUCUCUGUCUCUUUGCAAUAUGUGGAAAUCGUUUUAGAAAGCUCAAUAAGCCUCUUGCCAAUUUGACAACCCAGGAACGCUUCUUUAAGGACCUGGAAGCAAAAAUCCUUGCAAAGGGGGAGAACUAGGUAAAGAGGGAACAACUUAAGCAGUUGAAACCAGAAACUGCUAGACCUUCUGGACAAUCAGAGAAAGAAAUGACUGUCAAAGCAAUGCACCAGAGUCAAUAGAGCUGCAGGAGAAGAUCAUGAAAAGGUGAGGGCAGGCAGCAUCUCAGGAGGAUUACAGCAUCCUCAGAAGCAAGAGGUGUUCCUUCUCAGAACUCCCUCAGGUUAUGUUAGUGUGCAACGGUAUAAAACAUUAUAAACAACAUUAAAUGGUGCACAGAAAGAGCGGCGGUGGCAAAAUGAUCUCCUGGGAGAGAGGCCCACAAUUCACUGGGAAAAUGAAAUGUGAAGACUUGAUCCGAAUAUUAACGCCUCAUCUUGAAUAGAGGCCCACAUCCACUCACUUCACACAUAUCCGUGUGCUUUACCAUCUUCUAUACCACAGUUACGGCCACCGAAUGGUAGUGUGAGGGAACGGGGCCAGGAGACAGGAGAAAGAGCCCUGAACCCACAAUGUCCACCACAAUUUUCACACCAAAACCCUUGUCCUCGCCACUGUCAGUCUUUCCGUAUACUCUCAGAGCCUCCUGCUC